CAGCCAUCCAUCCAUGUUGCAGACAAACAGUAGGUAACGUUACGAGAAAACAGCCUUCAGUCGACGGAUCGAAAAUGGAAGGGCGCCCUCCAACCCCGGAAGAUGAAGAGCUUUACCUGGAGGAGGAAAGACGACGCAGACAGGCGUUACAGCGCCGCCUUGAGGUGACCCUGAGGACGAUUCGGCUGCUGUUGGACAUUGCUGGCUACCGACUUCUACUUGCUAGGCCAGAGAACGAUGGCAACGGCAAUCCCCGAAGUCGUUGAAGAAACACUCGAAGCUUGUACUUUUCUGGACUUUUUCGUUGUUUUCUUUUGGGGGGGGGGGGGGGUUGGGAACGAGUUCUUGUGUCAAUAAAUGAAUACUGCAUCCGUUCUUUGGUCGAUAUGUUUGGACAGAAUUUCACGCACUGUUAAGAAGGGUGUGCAAUUUGCGCGUAUCGCAGUUGUAGCAAAGAUCGAAAGAGAAAUGGGAUAGUGAAAAUAAAGGGAGGUUAACCGGAAGAGCUCCUAAUUUGCUGCCCUUAACUGGGAGAAAACUAUGGAGAGAAAGAAAAACGGAAAGAAUAUCUGAGAAAUAAAGCCUUUGCGUGCGAAAAAAAAAAAAAAAAAGAACUAGGGCAGGUGGCAGCAAAUCGACGGCGACUGCGGUUGAUCUCUGGCGAUAUGUAUGCAAAGUUGGAGCUGAAAGGCGCGCAGCUAAAACUGUGGUGCAGGCUGGCUCAUGGCCUGCGUCUCCACGGGGCCCAAACCCAUUGCUGGCGUUUAUCGAGCCCCAGGCGCUGCUCCUCCGCUGGCCCACCUGCGCAUACUUGCGCGCUCGCAUACGGGCCACCUCUUCAGACUUCAGAACGGUGUCGUGACCCGGCCCUUAGCGAAUCUCGACCGCCCCCGAAUUGGCAUACCAUCUCGUGCAUGCCGAUCUCGAUGCAUGAAUCUGUGAGGCGUUGGCUCACUCAGAUACCAAUAGUUCCGCAGCGCGCUCCCUCAUUUAUACACUUGCGACUCUGCGUUCGACUGAGAAAAUUGUUCUCGGAUCCUUUUCACUCUGCUUCUUGUGAACUGUGCAGUAGACCGCCCUCACUCACCCAA